rnacentral:rRNA from 1 species
GAUGAACGCUGGCGGCGUGCCUAAUACAUGCAAGUCGAGCGAACAGACGAGGAGCUUGCUCCUUCGACGUUAGCGGCGGACGGGUGAGUAACACGUAGGUAACCUACCUAUAAGACUGGGAUAACUUCGGGAAACCGGAGCUAAUACCGGAUAAUAUUUCGAACCGCAUGGUUCGAUAGUGAAAGAUGGCUUUGCUAUCACUUAUAGAUGGACCUGCGCCGUAUUAGCUAGUUGGGAAGGUAACGGCUUAACAAGGCAACGAUACGUAGCCGACCUGAGAGGGUGAUCGGCCACACUGGAACUGAGACACGGUCCAGACUCCUACGGGAGGCAGCAGUAGGGAAUCUUACGCAAUGGGGGAAAGCCUGACGGAGCAACGCCGCGUGAGUGAUGAAGGUCUUCGGAUCGUAAAACUAUGUUAUUAGGGAAGAACAAACGUGUAAGUAACUGUGAACGUCUUGACGGUACCUAAUCAGAAAGCCACGGCUAACUACGUG